rnacentral:lncRNA from 1 species
UUCAAGUGUUGGAAAGUUAUGACAUUUGUCACCCCAGGCCUGCCGGCCUAGUUGUAGCUAACAACUUAGGUGCAGGAUUGUCAAUCCUGUAUAGAUCUAUACACAAGUAUCAUGCUCCCCCUAUAAGGGAUUAUGGUAUAUAAUACAGGACUUGAAAUGCAUACUCGAAAGUACGUGAAAUGUCUCACAAAAUUUAGUAUAAAAUAGAUUUACGUAUGAAAAUGUCCAUUUGUUCUUGUAUAUGAGAAUAUCUCUUUGAUGUAGUGUUCUUAGUAUGUAAAUGUUCAUGAUUUCCUCGUAAACUAUACCUAUUAUAGUUUUUCAAAAUGUGUUUCGUUCGUAUAGUAAACCCUAGUGUAAUGCUCACUCAUUAUGUAAAGUAUAACACGUAAAGUGACUUGACUGAUCACAUAUACCUAAAGUAAAAAUGGAGCAUUUGAUUUGUAUAUACAUAUAUAAAGACAUUUUAUUUCCAUAAGACAAGGUGUUAUUGAAAAUGUAUAUUUCAUACAAGAAUACUCAUCUAGUAGUUUAUGAAUCACAUAUGAUUAGUUAGAUGAAAUGUUUAUAUAGUGAAUCGUUAAGUUAUACACGAUAAUAACCGCAUGUUUUACUUGCAUUCCCCCUAAUAAUGUAUAAAAAUCAUUUAUCAAACAUUUAAAAGCGUAGUUUAUAUGGGUAUGAACUCAACUGAAUGAUCGAAGAAGGCGAGAUGAAAACCAAGCAUAACUUUGACUCGAGAAAGCGGAUUUUCUCGGGACUCUCGGGAAUCUCGGGAGCACAAACGACCUUCGAGGCUUGAGUAUGGAAACCGGGGCUUCGGGAUAUCACAUGCACGGAAAACAAGGCAAAAACGCAAGAAAGGUGUUAGGAAAUGAGCAUUUUCCCCGGAACCCUCGCAUCCCUUUUAUAGGGGCUUGGAACCGCCUCGGUACAUUGUGCGUACGCGGUUACGCUGGGCGUACGCAUGCGUCAUGCGUGACCGCAUCCUCGACUGCCUCGGAGCUCGGAUGGGACGGGGCAUAGCCUCACAUAGGGGGCGACGUGGACGUUCCGAGGCCUAGUCCUCGAGUACGCUGGGCGUAACUCGGAUUGGCCCGGUGACUCCCCUUUGGAUAAUACCGAAAUUUGAUUUAAAUUUAUCUUUUUAUUAUUCAGUAAAAUUCAAAAAUUCAUAUCUUCUUCAUACGAACUCGGUUUUUGACAUUCUUUAUAUCCACCUGUAGGUUAGACUACGCUAUACAACUUUCGUUUAGACUCCGUCGGCAAUUUUUAAAUUGUUUUUAUUAUUUAUUUAUUAAAAGGUCAGGGUAAGAAAAGCUUGCUAGAAAUCCAUAACUUCUUUAUCCGAUGUCUGUUUUUGCUAGACUUUUUACAGUUGAAAGACCAUUGUCGAGAUCUUCGAUUCUCAUUUAGGUCAUUUCGGCAAAAAGUUGCUUGAUCUCUGUUUCGAGUUUUUAGUUGUCUAUCGCUAUGCCGAACUUGGAAAAGUCAUAAGUUCCUCAUUCGAAGUCAGAUUUGGACGUUGUUUUUAUGUACGAUCACGGUUUAAUGAUAUCUAACAUAGUAGGUAACCAAAAAGAGACUUUUGUACAUUUUUAUUUUCAAAGUUAAUUUCAUUAUUUUUGCAAGUGGUUACAAUACUUGGCUUUUUAAGUCAUUACAUAGAAUCGAAAUAUCGAGUUGUCACAUGCAUGCACACCUUAAUAGUGUGAGAAUGCUCUAAACCCUUCAUUGGUAUUAAAUCGUAGGACUGUUUUCAAUUAUACUUGAUGUUACUUGUAUUUGAAGCUUGAAAAACCAAAUUUCGGCUUUCUGGACAAUGGACUCACCUAGUCCACUGGCUGACUCACCGAGUCAGCCUUUAAAAUCAUCCAGCUAGCCGAGUCAGUUCAUGCAAUCGACGAGGUGGUGCUCCUGGAUGCAGAUUUUUGAGUUUUAAAGCUGGAAUUGGGCUAGGAUCAUUAGCCUAAACUAUUUUUGAACUUAUAAACAUGUUUUUGAUGUGGUAAUGAUCAUGCUAAUCCAAUUCAAAAGAAUAAUUGUCAAAGUUUCAAGUUUUAUAUUAGUUUAUAUGAUUCUUGGAAAUUGUUGAUGUGAAUUAUCCUUGCUUAUGAGUUUUGCUAGAUCAUAGAAAUUAUUUGACACUUGCUUGUUAGUUUAAUUGUUGAUAUAAAUGCCUUUUAAUGGACUCCAUAACUUGUCCUCAAGUUAUGGAAUUUCAAAAAAAAUCUCCUUAAAAGUCAUUAAAACUCAUAAGUUAUAAAAAUGAAAGGUUUUGAAUAGUUUCAAAACAUGCCCUCAAGUUUUGGAAUCUGUAAUGUCACGUUAGAAAACUUUAAUUCCAAACCCUACAAUUUUAAAAGUUUAAAAUUCAAUCCUUGUACUUUAUCAUAUUAUAAGUUAAUAAUAUAUAUAUAUAUAAGAUCAAGUCGUCUUACCGCUAGUAGGCCUCAUUCACGAAGCCGGUCUAUAAGGGGGGUAUAAGGUUGUUGCCUAUAAAAUGGCAACUUAAUGGGUGUCCACUCNUGCCUAUAACAAUGAUCUUCAAGUGUUGGAAAGUUAUGACAUUUGUCACCCCAGGCCUGCCGGCCUAGUUGUAGCUAACAACUUAGGUGCAGGAUUGUCAAUCCUGUAUAGAUCUAUACACAAGUAUCAUGCUCCCCCUAUAAGGGAUUAUGGUAUAUAAUACAGGACUUGAAAUGCAUACUCGAAAGUACGUGAAAUGUCUCACAAAAUUUAGUAUAAAAUAGAUUUACGUAUGAAAAU